UCCUUUCUCUUUCCCUUCCCAAAUUUUAAUCACAGUCUCUGGUUUUUCGUGCCCCUCUCUCUCUUUCUCUCUUAUCGUUCAAGGAUUAAAGAACAAUAGAUCAAGACAGAUUACCUUAUAAAGGGAGCCGUCGAAGCGAAGCGAGAAAAGCGCGGAUAUCGGAAAGCUAAUGCAAAGGUGAAACAAAAGAUGCCGUGUUCCAUUCGGAGAAGCAAGAGCAAAAUUGAGAAAGUUGUGAAAGGAGGAAGUCGAUCUCUGUCAAGGACAUCUUUAGAACAGAGCAAACAAAAAGCUUUUUCAAAGGAUCGUGAAGUAUCUGAUUUCAUUCAGAAGAAUUCUGAUAAAAGGUAAUAUAUGAUUUGUUUAAUGUUUUUUUUUGUCUGAUGCAUGGAACUCGGGUUGAUUUGGUGAUAAGUUGGGUUUGUCUAUGGGAAGCGUAUAAUGUAGCUGAUUCUCUCUAUGCAUAAGUUGUUAAAUAUAGGUAUGGUGUUAUUAAAAUUAUAAAAGUUGUAGCAUUUAGAUUUUACACAAAUUCAAUAGCUUCAUGUAUUUUUAAUGAUUAAUGAAAACUUUUAUUGCAAGGAGGAAGAGAUAAUACUUGGAAGAAAAUAUACUGGCAAAUAAGGGCUGACAGAGAUAGGCCCCACAAAUACGACUAGGACAGUAAAACACUUCCAAAACAGAAAAAAG